GUCGAACGGAAAGGCCUCUUCGGAGGUACUCGAGUGGCGAACGGGUGAGUAACACGUGGGUGAUCUGCCCUGCACUCUGGGAUAAGCCUGGGAAACUGGGUCUAAUACCGGAUAGGACCAUGCUUUAGUGUGUGUGGUGGAAAGUUUUUUCGGUGUAGGAUGAGCCCGCGGCCUAUCAGCUUGUUGGUGGGGUAGUGGCCUACCAAGGCGGCGACCGGGUAGCCGGACUGAGAGGUUGGCUCGGCCACAUUGGGACUGAGAUACGGCCCAGACUCUUACGGGAGGCAGCAGUGGGGAAUAUUGCACAAUGGGCGCAAGCCUGAUGCAGCGACGCCGCGUGGGGGAUGACGGCCUUCGGGUUGUAAUCUCCUUUCGCCAGGGACGAAGCGUUUUGUGACGGUACCUGCGAGAAGAAGCACCGGCUAACUACGUGCCAGCAGCCGCGGUAAUACGUAGGGUGCAAGCGUUGUCCGGAAUUACUGGGCGUAAAGAGCUCGUAGGUGGUUUGUCACGUCGUCUGUGAAAUUCCACAGCUUAACUGUGGGCGUGCAGGCGAUACGGGCUGACUUGAGUACUGUAGGGGUAACUGGAAUUCCUGGUGUAGCGGUGAAAUGCGCAGAUAUCAGGAGGACACCGAUGGCGAAGGCAGGUUACUGGGCAGUUACUGACGCUGAGGAGCGAAAGC
rnacentral:rRNA from 1 species